CUACGGGUGGCUGCAGUUUCGAAUAAUUCACAAUGGGCGCAAGCCUGAUGAUGCGACGUUACGUGAAGGAAGAAAGCUUUAAGUUGUAAACUUCUGUCGUUAAGGAACAAAAAAUUAAGUAGUACUUUUUAUAUUGAGUUAACUUAAAAAGGAAGCAGUGGCUAAUUUCGUGCCAGCAGCCGCGGUAAUACGGGAACUGCAAGCGUUGCUUGGUUUUAUUGGGCGUAAAGAGUACGUAGGCUGUUAUAUAUGUUAAUUGUUAAAUUUUAAAGUUAAUCUUUAAAUUUGCUGUUAAAACUAUAUAACUAGAUUUUCAAAGAGGUAAGUGGAAUUUCAAGUGUAGCGGUGAAAUGCGUAGAUAUUUGAAGGAACACCAAUGGCGAAAGCAACUUACUGGGUGAUAAUUGACGCUAAAGUACGAAAGUAUAGGGAGCAAAAGGGAUUAGAUACCCCAGUAGUC
rnacentral:rRNA from 1 species